AUCCAAUAGGUCUGGGCUGCCCCUGGCAAUUUGCAGUUCCAGCAAGCUCCCAGAUAAUGCUGAUGACACUGGUUCUCAGAUCCUACUUUGGUGGUGAGCCUCAAGGUCAUGGCCAUGGCAGCAGAGCGUGGCUAAGCCCAUGCACUUCGAAGUAAGAUAGAACUGGGUUCAAAUCCUGACUUGCCCAUCCCACUAGCUAGCAAACCUCAGCUACUUAGCCUCCUUGACACUCAGCUCCUUAUGUGUAAAAUGUGAAUUAGAGGCAGGAUUAUUUGCUCAUUCUACAAAGAAGUAUAUAGCGUCAACUCUGUCAGGCUUGUGGAAGGCCCCGGGGAAGCAGUGGUGAGCCAGUGCAGGCCCGGUUCCUGACAAUCCCAGAGAUAAUGGAUGUGGAGUCAUCAGCCCAGUGCCUGGUACAUGACCUCCAUGAUCUGAUCAAUCACCAAGUUCUGUUAAUUCAAGCUGGUUCAGAACAGGAGAUCUGGAGAUGUUGGUUUGAAUCAUGGUUCUGCCACUUACCAGCAGAGAGACCUUGGGCCAGUGGGUAAAUAGCCGCUACUCCAUGUCUCUCUCCACCCAGCCCCUUCACCGUGUGACUCCCCUGUGCUCUGGCUGCCCCAGCUCCUCUUCUGGGGGCCCUCGCAACGUUCCCAGAAUCCAGCAACUGUGAGGUUAACACUUUGCCUCUCCUUUACCUCCCAGACCAGGUUCCAGCAGUAUAGCAUUCAUUCCAAUUCCUCAGUGCCCCUUACCUUUCCGGUUGUUUGUUGUUGUUAGUAUGUACACCCUAGAGAAACCCUUGUUCACAUGUACCAGGAGAAAUGUACAAGUUUAUUCAUAGCAUCAGUGUUCUUAGUAGACACAACAGCGAGUGCAACAGCCACAAUAACAAAUCAACUAUAAAUAACUCGAUGCGCGCGGAUGCAAGUUGCCCAUGCAAGCCGUCUCCUUCUGUUGGGUCAGAAAAGCUGCUCAGAGGCUCUGGGCAGAUGAAGGAGACAGGCCAGUCUUCCAGCGGGGUCCGAGACCCAUCAGAUAUCAUGCUGGAUAGCAGGUACUGAGCCCUCAUUUCCAUGCCAGGUGCUACAUUCGUUAGGCUAGUAUCUUCUUUCCCAGCCGAGGAGGCAAUGACCCUGGUUCAUCCCAUUUCAUAGGGAAGGAAGCUGAAAGGUAGAGACGUAAAGUGGCUUGCCCAAGGUCACACAUUGUAGAGCUAGAGUUUGAGGUCACAUCUGGGAUUCCCAAGCCCAGUAUGGGAGACCUUCUUCACCACUGUGGGCUCAUCGCCACAGAGUAGAGGUUUCUGGGGUGCAAGACCUCUGCUCAGGAUCCCCAGCUUUGAGCUCGGAGCCUGGGUUACAGGAGAUGCUCAGAGAACGGAGACUUCAUACCACAAAAUAGUCAAUCAGCCUGUUGGGUCUGACCUCAGCCUCUGGACCAGCCUUACUCCUGCCUGGUCUCUGAAAUCCAGGCCAGAAGGCCAUUUCUCCCCGCAAUUCCCUUGCUUCCUGAUGGCCUGAUUUUGAACCUGGGCUUGUCAGACACAUCUCUGAGAGGCCCCUCCAAAUCUUUAAAUACAAAGAACGUGACUCUACUCACAAAUUCCUUUAUUCUCUAAACAUCGAUUGAGCACCUAUCACAUCAAGUGCAGAGCUCUGAGGGAGAGAAACAGCACGGACCAGAAAUCGUCCUUGCUUACAGAGGCCCUCUGCCGGCCUCGGGUGACCCCAACCCUGAAAACCACAUCCUCCAGAAGAGUGGGUGCUGAAAUAAAGCCCAUGUGCUUGGCUCAGGGACCCUUCAACCGGUCAAAGUAGUAAAAAUGGCUGGACAUUGCAGUGACAUUGAAUGUUCUGUCCUCGUGUGCCUCCUGUCUGACCUUCUGCCUGAGCAAGAAUUUGUUUUUGCUGUGGAAAGUUCAACGUGCUCGUUUAUUUGUUUGGUUUCUUAAUUUAAUCUCUUUUGCAAAUAAAAAUAAAGAUAGUGUGUUUGCCCAAAUAGUGACAGGCUCCACCUGAGAUGUCAUGUGGACGCUCGGGGAAUGAAAAUCCCACCAGUGCAGCUAACGGCCUCGGUGCCCUGGACAGGGGGGAUGUGCCAGGUGGGUUAGGAUCCCAAGCCCCCCAGCACAGCUCUGCCAGGAAUUGAUGUUGGAAAAGUCAUUUGGCCUCUUCAGGCCUGUUUCCCUCCUUUAGGAAAUGAGAGAGUCAAACAUGUUCGUAAAGGUAAAACUUUCACAUUCGCUACCUCAUUUUUGCCGUCAUGAUAUCCUGGGAGGAAGCCUUUUUGAUCCCUAUUUGAUUGAUUGGCAGAGAAAUGAAAGCAGAAGAGUCAGAAGAAUCCAGGGGACCCAGCCACUCAGCACUGGAGAUGGGAUCUCAGUCCAGGCUCCCAGCCCCUGUCUGGAAUGCUUUGGUCUUUCCCAGGGUUUCUCAAAUUUGGGAGACAGACACAUGCCUUAAAAAAUUCUCAGA